GAUAAACGCUGGCGGCGUGCCUAAUACAUGCAAGUCGAGCGAACAGACGAGGAGCUUGCUCCUCUGAUGUUAGCGGCGGACGGGUGAGUAACACGUGGAUAACCUACCUAUAAGACUGGGAUAACUUCGGGAAACCGGAGCUAAUACCGGAUAACAUGUUGAACCGCAUGGUUCAACAGUGAAAGACGGUCUUGCUGUCACUUAUAGAUGGAUCCGCGCCGCAUUAGCUAGUUGGUAAGGUAACGGCUUACCAAGGCAACGAUGCGUAGCCGACCUGAGAGGGUGACCGGCCACACUGGAACUGAGACACGGUCCAGACACGGACGGGGGCAGUAGGGAAUCUUCCGCAAUGGGCGAAAGCCUGACGGAGCAACGCCGCGUGAGUGAAGAAGGUCUUCGGAUCGUAAAACUCUGUUAUUAGGGAAGAACAAAUGUGUAAGUAACUAUGCACGUCUUGACGGUACCUAAUCAGAAAGCCACGGCUAACUACGUG
rnacentral:rRNA from 1 species